GUGGGUCUCGUAUCAGGAGGCGAGGCCAGGACCCGCUGACCCAUGCCUCCUGCCGCGGUCAG
ensembl:miRNA